CAGCCGCGGUAAUUCCAGCUCCAAUAGCGUAUACUAAAGUUGUUGCGGUUAAAAAGCUCGUAGUUGGAUCUUGGAAUGUGUUCAAGCGGGUCAGCUUCUGGCUGUGCGCUGCUUGACGUGUUCUUCUAUUUGGUUUUGGUGCGGUGCGCUUAACUGCGUGUCGCUCCCGGCCGAAACGUUUACCUUGAAAAAAUUAGAGUGUUCAAAGCAGACCUGUUUGAGUCUGAAUAUUCGUGCAUGGAAUAAUGAAAUAUGAAUUCGGUUCUAUUUUGUUGGUUUUCGGAACUCGAGUUAAUGAUCAAGAGGGACAGACGGGGGCAUUCGUACUCUGCCGUUAGAGGUGAAAUUCUUGGAUCGGCGGAAGACGCGCAACUGCGAAAGCAUUUGCCAAGAAUGUUUUCUUUAAUCAAGAACGAUAGUCGGAGGUUCGAAGACGAUCAGAUACCGUCCUAGUUUCGACUGUAAACUAUGCCAGCUAACGAUCAGACAGAGUUCUCUACGACUUGUCUGGCAGUUUCCGGGAAACCAAAGCGUUUGGGUUCCGGGGGAAGUAUGGUUGCAAAGCUGAAACUUAAAGGAAUUGACGGAAGGGCACCACCAGGAGUGGAGCCUGCGGCUUAAUUUGACUCAACACGGGGAAACUCACCCGGCCCGGACACAGUGAGGAUUGACAGAUUGAGAGUUCUUUCUUGAUUCUGUGGGUGGUGGUGCAUGGCCGUUCUUAGUUGGUGGAGCGAUUUGUCUGGUUAAUUCCGAUAACGAACGAGACUCUGGCAUGUUAAAUAGUCGCGGAAGUGCGUAUGCACUUGCCGAAUUGACUUCUUAGAGGGACUAGUGAUUUUAAUUCACACGAGAUUGAGCAAUAACAGGUCUGUGAUG
rnacentral:rRNA from 1 species